UGUCAUUCAGCGUCUGUGUGGAGGACGUGAUGCGUUUCCCUCAUGUGUCGUUUCAUAUUUGUGUCGUGAAGUCAGCAUCGACGCACGAUGUCAGCUGCUCUGUGCCACGAACGCUGUCGACAUUCACUCUGAUGAAAAAUCUGCUAAAAUGACACGCGGGGCCGAGCGAAGGUUUUAAACAACUUCCAGGACCGUUCUGUGCCGUCGCCUCCAUGCUUGCUUUUGUUGAUUGUCGCUGACAGGGGAACUGAAUUUCCAUUUAUACAACGGUGGCAUGAGUGUGAUUAUCUGUGAUUCUCUUCAAAUUACAUGCCAACACCUUCCUGUGCACCGUCUCUUUUGAAUUUCUUUGUGUUGUACUUAUUCUCCCACCUUCACAUCGUGCCUGCAUGCGAGUGCACAAAGAUAACAAACUGGGGCAGAGCGCGUUUCCCGGUCGGGCACGUAAGAGCACAAACACACCUAUAAUUCACUGUUACAGAUAAAUAUUUUCUUUAAGGUCCCACAGUUUGCUUAUUUCCAGGUUUUUGCUGGUCGACUAGAAAAUGUUUUUUGCAUGCUUUCAAGUUUAAAUGUCAUUUUAGUUACUGUCUCUUAAAAGCCCCCCAGUCUGCUCUGAUUGGUCAGCACUCACAGACCUGAGUAGGCACCGCCCACUACACAUGAUGAUGUCAUUGGUGCAAUUGGUUGUCUAAGGGUGGGCUUGAGCAUUCAAUUUACACUGGAGGUGCAGAGUUAAGGAGGCAAAUGUGGUCUAAUAACAGAUCCUGCUGAGUUGCAUUACGGGAAAUGUAGGAUUGGGUCUUUUUUUGUUGUUUUUUUUUAAGAGUUCAGCUCAGACUGGGUUUUAAAUGUCAGAAUAUCUCAGCUUUGAUUCUGAGCACUCUGUCUUUCAUCUGCAAGUUCCACAACUUCAUGCAUAUGUAAUAAUAAAUGGCUGUAGAACCUCGUUAAAAGGACAAAAAUGUAGCAUGAAUUUGAAAUAAAGGGGGAGGGGUUUUUGCCUCACAGGAUGAGUAGGUCAACAGGUUCGCUUCAGAGGUGUCCAGUUCCAGCAAACUUAACUUCAAACAUGACACCAACUGCUGUACAAGAUAUCUGUUCUGCAGCACAUGUAACAGGAUCUUCUAAUCAUGCUUCAAUGCAGUGUGCAGUUACACUCCUGGAAGCCGUCCAGCUCCACCACCUGUUGGCUGGCUGACCUGUCGGCAGCUGAGCGCCUCCACUGCAGCGCCUUGCUCAAGGGCAACCUCCAGGUGGUCACAAGGGGCCCAGAGUCUUCGGCCCACAUGGUUAACCUGCUUUAUCAAGAGAUGAUGUGCGUAUAAUGAAAUGUCCGUACGGCAGCUGUGCAUCGUACGCCUGCUGGAGACGGUGAGCCUGUCUGUGUUUGUGUGGACGGUUGCGAGGCGUGUUUAAUUAAAUUUCACACGCUGUGAAGUGUCAGAUUGAGAAGUGCCGCCCUCCCCCGUCUCUCUCUCUUACACAUAGACACAGACACACAAAUGACUGCGGUACUGAUCGUAGGAAGCAGAUGAGAUGUGAUGUGAGUGGGUGGAAACAUACGCUCCUGAUAAGUGAAUGGCUUUCUUUUUUUUUUAUUUAUUUAAUUUUUAUUUUUAAUUGCCAGUCUGGUGUAACACAGGCAGCCAGUAGUACAACCUGUGCAUGAAGACGUGUUUAAAUACUGUAAAACUGACUAAUUGAAGGUUUGAGUGUUGACGUCGUUGUGCACGUAUCAGAGAAACGCACAUGGAUGGAGCGGUGAAAGGAGUCGAGGCGCGGUGACGUACAGCUUUUGACACCUCGCGUGGUGCUGUACCACUCAAGGGUGCUCGGAUGAAACCACCCAAAACCACACGAGUCCGUCUUAAGAACACACACCGACACACAGCGGGGACCAAAGAGUGCAGCGUCGGGUGUUGCUGCAGACGGUGUGACAGGCUGUGAUAUCGCUCUGUCACACAGCGAUGCACCAAGAAUUUGAUAGCGAGGAGCAACAAUGAGGCGUCUCCGGUCACGUCCCGCCCUCCUCGAUAGAGGAAGGAAGGAAGGAGCAG